UUGUAUUAUUUUUUUAGUACUCCAGAGUCCAGACACAAUUACACUGGACUGGGAAUCUGCUAAAGACGAGGCUCGUCUAGCCCUUCCGAGUUACUGAGCAACGAUUCUAGAGAGAGAGGGAGAGAGAGGGAGAGAGAGAGAGAGAGAGAGAGAGAGAAGAGAGAGAAGAUGGCGGAAGAGAAGGUUAAGGUUCGGUGUCAACGGAUUGGCUGCGUUGCAUUCUUCUCUGAGGACGACAACCCAGAGGGCUCUUGCACAUAUCACCAUGGGCCGCCCAUAUUUCAUGACGGUGGAAAAGAAUGGAGCUGUUGCAAACAAAGAAGUCAUGAUUUUAGUCUGUUCUUGGAGUUACCAGGAUGCAAGAAAGGUCAACACACAACAGAGAAACCAAUAACAAAGGCAGCCCCAAGCCCAAACAAGCCAAUCCCUCUCCCAUCUUCAAAAAUCGAUAACAGCAAUGUGAAUACAACUUGUUCAAGAUGCCGUAAUGGCUACUACUGCUCUGAUCAUGGUUCUCAAAGUAAACUGUAUUCCAAUCGUCCGACGCCCUCACCAGUGGUGAAAGCUGAGGUGGAAUCUAAAGAGUCGCCUCUUACCGAAAGUAAAGAGGUGCAAUCAAAAGAGGCUUCUCCUGCCCCUACCAAGGCUAUUGACAUUAAUCAGAUUAAGACAUGCAGAAACAAAGGUUGUGGAAAGAGCUUUAGGGAAAAAGAUAACCAUGAAACAGCCUGCGAGUACCAUCCAGGCCCUGCAAUUUUCCAUGACAGGAUCAAAGGGUGGAAAUGCUGUGAUGUUCAUUUGAAGGAAUUCGAUGAGUUCAUGGCCAUACCCCCUUGCCAGAAGGGGUGGCACAAUGCCAAUCCAGACGCUUAAAAUAUCAAUAUUGGUGAAAGAUACAAAUAAACUGCCAUGACUUCAAGAACAUUGCAGUCCUUUUCUUCAAAGCAGGAUGCUUUUUAUGGAAAAUUCUGGCUCAACUGAUUCCCGGUAUAGAUUGUGUCCACACUAGGCCCUUUAGCUAAUGGAAGUGUUUUCUGAUUGCCCAAGUUUCUGCAUAUGGAUAGGCAUGUUUCUGAGAGUGAAUAAGAACCAGACCAGACAGUUAACAAAUUACAAGGCCAGACCUACGGUCUAUACUUGGCAGUCUGGUGCUACUUAAUUAAGAGCAGCAUACUGCUACAGGGUUUUGACUGGUUUUAAGCCAAAAAAAUGGGGGCUAUCCAAGACAAAGACAGCAAGCCUCCCCAAAGGUGGUUAGGUGAACCGAGCCGUCUCGUCUUUCGUGCACUUAUUGAAGGCGGCAAAUAGGGCUGGGGGUUUGGCCCGGCCCUAAAAUGUUGGGCCUGAGCCAGUGCCAGCCCGGGCUUGGACUGACCCUAUGGGGACAAGAGCGCCAAGGCUGGCCCAGCCAUGUCUGUUGCUACCCUUAGGUGCAAAGAGGCCGAUUUGUACUUGGUGAUUUCAAUUGAUUUUUGAGUUGCAUGAAAAAGCUAAAUAUGUUGAAGCCUCUUUUUCUGUCCAAUUGGACGAGUAUAGCUUAGUUAUUAAAGGGAAAAUUUUGUGGUCUCAGUGAAUA